AAAUAUAAAAACUCAAAAUUAUAGAGAUUUAUUGAUCCUUUCCAAAAUUCAUCUUGCACCAUACAGCUCGUCAGAUAGACAGACAGAAAGACAACACACAACAACAACAGGACCACUAUUGA